UACGUAGGGUGCGAGCGUUGUCCGGAAUUAUUGGGCGUAAAGAGCUCGUAGGCGGCUUGUUGCGUCUGCCGUGAAAAUUCACAGCUCAACUGUGGACGUGCGGUGGAUACGGGCAGGCUUGAGUUCGGUAGGGGAGACUGGAAUUCCUGGUGUAGCGGUGAAAUGCGCAGAUAUCAGGAGGAACACCGGUGGCGAAGGCGGGUCUCUGGGCCGAUACUGACGCUGAGGAGUGAAAGCGUGGGGAGCGAACAGG
rnacentral:rRNA from 1 species